AGCAGCGCCAGUCUUUCGCUCUUCUCGCCUCUGCAUCCGAAAUACGAAGAUUUCCAGUCACAGUCUCGAUCCCUACACGUCCUAUAUAUAUAAACAAAUAAUUUGACGAAGACGAAGAAGAAGAUCAAGAUAUAGACAUCAGAGGCCGCUUCACGAGCCAUAGGAUCACUGCCAUUCUGUGCCCGCUUGACACCUGCAAAACCAGGUACCAAGCUGACGUCAGAGCCAAUGAUCAGGCCAAGGACAUUGACAGCCCAUCACAUCCAAGAGUAAAUGAAGAACUCACUUUCACAGCCUCAACAGCAUAUGAACCAACAUAUAACAUAUCUGAAUAACUCAUGUAGAAUGAUUCUUUCAAACUCAAAAUGUAGAAUAUUUUGGCAAUAGCUUUGUAAUUUGUGUAUAAAGAACAUCUUCGGUUAGAAUAUCUCUUUCUUGAAAAAUUUAAAUACAGGAGCUCCUCCUUCUCGAAUAUGCAUAUAUUCAUGUCUAGUUGAAAUACCAACUUUUA